rnacentral:rRNA from 1 species
UACGGAGGGUGCGAGCGUUAAUCGGAAUAACUGGGCGUAAAGGGCACGUAGGCGGGUUUUUAAGUGAGGUGUGAAAUCCCCGGGCUUAACCUGGGAAUAGCAUUUCAGACUGGGAGUCUAGAGUGCUUUAGGGAGGAGUAGAAUUCCACGUGUAGCGGUGAAAUGCGUAGAGAUGUGGAGGAAUACCGAAGGCGAAGGCGACCCCUUGGGAAUGUACUGACGCUCAUGUGCGAAAGCGUGGGGAGCAAACAGG